rnacentral:rRNA from 1 species
CAGCCGCCGCGGGAAUACGAAGGGGGCUAGCGUUGCUCGGAAUUACUGGGCGUAAAGGGAGCGUAGGCGGACUGUUUAGUCAGAGGUGAAAGCCCAGGGCUCAACCUUGGAAUUGCCUUUGAUACUGGCAGUCUUGAGUACGGAAGAGGUAUGUGGAACUCCGAGUGUAGAGGUGAAAUUCGUAGAUAUUCGGAAGAACACCAGUGGCGAAGGCGACAUACUGGUCCGUUACUGACGCUGAGGCUCGAAAGCGUGGGGAGCAAACAGGAUUAGAUACCCCCGUAGUCCCUGUCUCUUAUAC